UCAAUUUGUAAUGUCUACAGAGUGCUCGGAUGAAAAGAUGUUCUGAAAAUGCCUCGGAUGAAAAGAAGCUGUAAAAAAAAAUAUAAUCUUUACCCUGAUAGACUGAUUACAAUCUAUUGUGCCAUGGAUUAGCGGUGAAAUUCUCCGCAUGCUGAGUUUGUACUGGCAGGCAGUGCCACUUUCCCUCGAUGCCGUGUGUCAAUGAAUUCAGCAUUUGCACAAAGAACGCUGCCUUCCUCUCCUCUCGUGAUCCUGGUCUUGCUGAGGUGAAAUGCAAGCGAAAAACCCUGGAGCAGGUGCAGAGAUCAGCUUCUUCUGGAAGAAACCUAUCUAAAAUGAGCAGAAGUGCCCUCCUAUGUAUCACGGGGAUGUUGUCGUCUCCCAGGCUGUGAUGCGUGGUUAAAAAAAGAACAGAGGGCUCCUAAAAGUAGCCAAAAAGCGCAUGAUAUGUGAAUAGAGCCAGGAGAUAACUGAGUCAUCUCAAGUGAUACAAAGGGCCAAAAGAAUGGGGUUGGAGCAGACGCAAGUGCAGAGCAGGCUGUGAGCAACAGCCCCAUCUCCAUGAUUUCCAUAGUCACACGGGCAGCACAAGAAACGUGUGCUGGCACAUUUGUAUCAUUCAGCCUCUAUGUUUUCUCAUUCUUUGAAUGGAGAACAAGGAAAAUGGUGGAGGAAAAGGAUCAGUGAGACAACACGUGGAAUCACACCAGCUAGAAAGCCUCUGCUUUGCUAAGACCAUAGUGGUUGACAAUGGGAAAGAACUAACCUCCUACCACAGUGAUAGUUGAUAGUGACAGCUGCAUGUUUAAAACAAGAAUGUAUUUUGUACUCCACUCUCUUUCACAGAAGUCACGUUUGUCAGAAACUUAAAAAAAUUCCAAGUAUGAUUCAUGUUUCAUUUCGCUCUGAGGUAAUUGCCAGUCAGCAGCCAUUUGUGGUCUAAGAUGAUUGGAAGUUUUAAAGCAGAAUGUGGGCUUUUCCCACUUAUCUACUUACCAAAACCAACAUCUCUUGGGGGAAAAAAAAAUCAACACAAUAAACAACAAAACAAAACAAAAUCUCAGAGGAGUCUGGCACACAAAUGACACAGUUAAAAUGUUGCUCCGCUACUACAAUUGCUUCAGAAUGAUUACUUUCCUUCUAUUUCAUCCUCAGCUGAUUAGUCCCUAGGCUCAAUUGCUUUCAAAUGAAUAAAACACCAUCUAUUUGUUUUUUCGCUUCUGUGAGAGAAAAAAAAAAAUUCUACUUAUUGUGAUAAAGAGAUUGGUUUUGUCUGUGUGGACUUUUGUUCUGAGGAAUGCAAUAAUUUUGCUGGUACUGAAAUUCUGAUUUUUGAGUGUCUUUAAUUGGACUAUUGUCUAUUCUGUUGAUUUGAGAAAUGGUUUGCAUAACUGACCCAAACACCUCUGGAAGCUUAAACUGAAUUUUGGAAAGAAUUACAGAUUAUUUUUCCUGUCUUUCUCCUCUCUGGACAGAAAAAGCUGGAAAGCCCCAAGCAUAGUUGGAUACACAAACCCACAGAAAUGCUUUUCCCAUCAUCAACUGUUCAGAAAAUGCUGUACCUAAAAGACAUCAGGUCAUUGCCCUUUUUCAAUACAAGGCAUUCAAAUAGUUUUGAAAAACUUUCGAUUGUCAUCCAAGAUGAAUCUUAUCAUCUUUGCCCAUUAUCUCUUAUCAAAUCUGAAACACGACAGGCAUAAUUCAGAACGAGAUAUUUGGCAUUGCCCAAACCCUUGCUGCAUGUCACUCAAAGCCAUUGAUGGGCACUUCAAAGAAAACCAGGGUGCAGUUUGGAGCAAUUCUUUACGAGUUUCUCUGUAGCAAAAUUUCUUACUUGGAAGCCCUCUAGUUAAAGCUUGCAUUUCUGAUAAAUUUCCAUGCAUUAUUAACCUAAUUGGACCUAACAUAUAUUCUAAGAUUCUCAUUAAUAUUUUUUAACAUGUUAUGGCAUCUUUACCCUUGAGCAGUCAACCAAGUUUUCAUCCUCAUAAAAACGGAUUCCUCAUAAUCGGACAAUCCAAUCAUUUCCAGUCCAUAAGGUAAAUUUCCUCUAUAUUCUUUGAUUUUGCAUUUUUUUUUUUUUUUUACCAAUCAGCAUAAUACAUUUCACCCUAUGGAUGAUUUCUCCAUAAGCCUUGCCAAUAUUACUGGAAGCUUCUAACUGGAAAGGGUGCCAGCUUGAGCUGGAGGACACGUCUAAGAGAUGACCUCAGGCCAACGGAAAGAAGGUAGAACUCUGAGCAUUUUAGCAGGAUUGUUCCAUUUAUUCUUGUAAUUUAGACACUUCACUGACUCUGAUCAUCUUCAGAAUGGAUAAAAUGCCAAUGAACCGUACGGAAUGGUAAAUAAAUGGUACUAGAGCCCACUGAUUGUUAGUCAUUCGUUAAUAUAUCUGCAUAGGGAUAACAUUGUGGAGACUCAAUUCUGAAUAGAACUGUCUGAGGUGAUACAAAGAAAAAAGAACAUGAAAAGGAUGACCCUAAGCUAAAAAGAUUAUUAGCGUUUCUUAGGCUCUAUGGCAGUAAUAACAACAAUAAUCAUCUAGAACAAUUAUUGGGUAGAAAAGAAGAUUUUUUCGUGUAAGUUCAGAAUGCUUUCAUUGUUAUUAUCUAAAAUUGAACUACGUAUAUUAUUUUAAGUGGGUAAAUUUUUGUUUUGUAUCCAUGAAAUUGCUACCAUAUUAACAAGAUUUUCCAGGCAUUAAUGGAUUGAUUUCUGUAUAAUUGUAACUAUAUUAAUUCAUCCCAAUUACCUCUAAGUAAAAUUUAAAUUAAGUUAAAUUGAAGAAAUUAAAAAUGUUUGAAAACCCUGCAUAGAAACCUUGAGGCAUCAUAAGAUUGUCAUUUCUCAUCUUUAAUGUCAUUCAUUUUGCAACUGAGAACAUGACAUAAGUAGUCUCAGUUCUCCCAAAAUUUGCAAACUGCUAUUUUUCUGUACAAUUCAAAGGUAACUUAAAGGUAUGUCUGUGAAUCCAACAUGAUUUUUUUUUCCUCCACUGAUGGAAAUGGCUGUUUCCUGCUUUCCUAAGAAGGAAGCAGACGUAGGGAUGAUCCAUAUGUAAUGAGAAGAUAUUCAGCCAUAAGGAUAGGUUCAAAUGAAUAGGGGAAGCACUGUUGUUGGUCUCAUAGAGAAAGCACUCAGAAUAGGCUGGCCACCCAGUAGUGCUCCUGAGUGCUACAUUGCUCCAAAAGGCAAAAAUACCCUUCUACCCUUCAAGGUUAUGGCUAGGAUUAGCCUUCUGCAAAGCUUGGUGGCAGAUCCAAGCUGAGAUAGCUUUAAUCUGAUGCUGGAGAACGCAACUAUAUUCUGGUUUAGCCAAGCUCUGCGUUGCUCAUGACUGAGCUAGAAGUAUUUGAGCUGAAACUGACUCUAAAUGGCAACAGUUUGAACAAUCUCCCAAGCUAUGUUACAAUUCACAGCGUAAAGAGAACUGGGAAUAGAGCUGGGGAUCUCAGCACGUGGUGUCUCACAGUGUUUGUUCGUCUCCUGAUCAACUACUUCCCAAAAAAGGCCCUUUCAAAAGCAUAGUUCUCCAGAUCCUGAUUUCUAGACACAUUUGGAGCUCGGAAGGGCCGUGGCUGCAUGUCUGUGACAGUGGUCAGGGGGCUGCACUGAGAUGGAGAUCGAGAUUUAUUCACGGAGGAUGUCAUCCUGCAAAACUGCUGGCAUUUCAUGUCUUCUCUUUGGCUGCCUUUGUCCUUGAAAGCUCUGUAGGCUUCAAGGUUGGCUCGGUGGUCUGCUCAGAGAUAUAACCGCUAACUAGAACUAGCAGAAACCAGACAAAGUACUCAGUUUAGAUCAUCCGUGCUCUGAGAGAAUUAGACGGAUGCAGGUCAUGCUGAGGAGAACCAGGGAAGCUGUUCCCCUCCCUGCAGCAGAAUCAUUCAAACUGAGAGAAAGCUGCUCGCAGGAAGGAGGAGGCUCGUAGAAAGGUGCUUCUUAAUUGCAUUUUGGUCCUGGACCCUCUGGUGAGCAGAGACACUGGGAACAAAUGAAAGUUUCUGGCGCUGGGGAAAAAAAAAAAAAAGAGGAAAAAGUUUUGCCGCUUAGAGCAGGGAAAUAGUUUGAGGCUAUGUUUUAAUUAAAAUGAAUAUCUGCGCUAUCUUAAUGUUAUUGCCAGUUAAGUGUAGCAGGGUGAUUUAGAGUUCUAUAACACAAUUAUACUCCGGUAAUGAAGCUCCGCAGAAUUAUCCCAGGAAUUCAGAAUGCAGAGGGGAGCAGUAGCUCUCAUUUGUAACCAUGUUACAACCUUUAUUGUUACAAUAUUUUCUGUUUUCCUCAAAGAUUAACUCAGUCGUAUUUAAGUCUCUGGUUACAUUAAAGAGAAAUUGGGAACGGGUGACAGGAGCUUUCUUACUGUCCCUGCAGCGGUUCAAUGCAAAAUGUUCUACAACAGAGAGCUGAGUGCCUUAACCUGUUCAAGCUCUUGGUCUUUCUACUGGGGGACAACAUGUACGUUGUUAGCUAGAAAUAUCACAAGAAAUACAAUUUUGCAAGUGAGGCCUCAAAUAAGGAAAUAUUCCAGCAGGGAAGUCUCUAUUGGUGAUGCCUUGACAGCUGGCAUGAAGACUUUCAAAGAUGCUUUGCUCCUUUGAAGCGCAUCUACAUCUGUAUCCUGUGGGUUUGUGUUACAUCCAGGAGCUGUGCGCUGAGGAUGUCUCCUUUGCUCCUGAGCUCAUGGUCAGGUUCCCAUGGGGUGCAAGCCCCAGUGGAAAAGAAGGGCUGCAUGGGAACCAGCAGAUCCUUGCUCUGCUCACUCCCCUCCCAUAUGCUUGAAAAAAACUUCUGCACUUCUCCAGCUGUGUUUCCAAUACAGCUCAGGAGACGUGUACCCAGACUUACAAGCCAUUGAGUUUGACCACAGAGGAGUACCCAGGUCAUGCUUGGUUUCUGUACCUUGGUAUAGAAAUGUUCCUAUCUCUUCAAGGAGAACACUCAAAUUCUAAUGGAUUGAUCUACCCAUGCACAGGAAGCACCUCAUUUCUCCACCCCAAGAAUUAACUUGAUCCAGAACCAAGCUAGAGCACGAGCUCUUCUUGGCCACAGAAUGCCUGGCCUUGAGUGCAGUACUGAGUUAGAGUGAAUGUGAUGGGGUAUCCACACCAAACCUUGCCCUCCCACAGCGAUUCCUCAUCACUGACAGAGAAAAAUAGAAUUUUUUAUUUCCAGAAACAGGAAAUCUGCUUGGAGAAAGCAAGAAGCCCUGCCCAUCUGCAUUCCUAUUUGGAGAUAAAACUGUUCAGCACUGAGGAAAGCUGGAAUUGAAACCGAGCUGACUUUACUCAAGUGUUCGAUUUGCAGCAAACGGAUUAAAAGCAGAAAGGAAUCGAUGCGGUAAUACGAUCAAUCCUCAGGAACACCUCCCGAUCCCUGUGGCAGACCCCAGCGGUCCGAUUAAUCAAAGCAUACAGCCUGUGGAUAAGACUCUUUGCCUUUGUUUUUCCCACAGUUUUUUGUCACAACUGGGGUCCAGGCUGCUCAAAUGAGGCGUAUCUGUCAGCCAUCAGGAUUGUCACCCUUCAAACCUCGAAUCAUAUUCAUGCAGAGACAGGGACUCUAGCUCCAACCUAACGACACUUUCAGGGAAAAGAUUACAGAUUGGACAAUAAAAGCAUGUUUUAUACAUUAGUUAUUGUUUUGCUUUACGAUUCGGUGUGAAAUAAAUUAGGAAGAAGGAAAUGCUUUAAA